GCCGCGGUCGCAUAAUCUGGUAUUGCGCAGGAUUGCUAAUCCUGUUCCUUACGGAAUUGUGGGUUCAAAUCCCACCCACGGCG
rnacentral:tRNA from 1 species